AGAGUUUGAUCCUGGCUCAGGAUGAACGCUAGCUACAGGCUUAACACAUGCAAGUCGAGGGGAAACGACAUUGAAAGCUUGCUUUUGAUGGGCGUCGACCGGCGCACGGGUGAGUAACGCGUAUCCAACCUGCCCAUCACUUGGGGAUAACCUUGCGAAAGUAAGACUAAUACCCAAUGAUAUCUCUAGAAGACAUCUGAAAGAGAUUAAAGAUUUAUCGGUGAUGGAUGGGGAUGCGUCUGAUUAGCUUGUUGGCGGGGUAACGGCCCACCAAGGCAACGAUCAGUAGGGGUUCUGAGAGGAAGGUCCCCCACAUUGGAACUGAGACACGGUCCAAACUCCUACGGGAGGCAGCAGUGAGGAAUAUUGGUCAAUGGACGAGAGUCUGAACCAGCCAAGUAGCGUGCAGGAUGACGGCCCUAUGGGUUGUAAACUGCUUUUAUAAGGGAAUAAAGUGAGUCUCGUGAGACUUUUUGCAUGUACCUUAUGAAUAAGGACCGGCUAAUUCCGUGCCAGCAGCCGCGGUAAUACGGAAGGUCCGGGCGUUAUCCGGAUUUAUUGGGUUUAAAGGGAGCGUAGGCCGGAGAUUAAGCGUGUUGUGAAAUGUAGACGCUCAACGUCUGCACUGCAGCGCGAACUGGUUUCCUUGAGUACGCACAAAGUGGGCGGAAUUCGUGGUGUAGCGGUGAAAUGCUUAGAUAUCACGAAGAACUCCGAUUGCGAAGGCAGCUCACUGGAGCGCAACUGACGCUGAAGCUCGAAAGUGCGGGUAUCGAACAGGAUUAGAUACCCUGGUAGUCCGCACGGUAAACGAUGGAUGCCCGCUGUUGGUCUGAAUAGGUCAGCGGCCAAGCGAAAGCAUUAAGCAUCCCACCUGGGGAGUACGCCGGCAACGGUGAAACUCAAAGGAAUUGACGGGGGCCCGCACAAGCGGAGGAACAUGU
rnacentral:rRNA from 1 species